UCAGGAUGAACGCUAGCGGCAGGCUUAACACAUGCAAGUCGAGGGGUAUAGUUCUUCGGAACUAGAGACCGGCGCACGGGUGCGUAACGCGUAUGCAAUCUACCUUUCACAGAGGGAUAGCCCAGAGAAAUUUGGAUUAAUACCUCAUAGCAUAGUAGUCUCGCAUGAGACCACUAUUAAAGAUUUAUCGGUGAAAGAUGAGCAUGCGUCCCAUUAGUUAGUUGGUAAGGUAACGGCUUACCAAGACUACGAUGGGUAGGGGUCCUGAGAGGGAGAUCCCCCACACUGGUACUGAGACACGGACCAGACUCCUACGGGAGGCAGCAGUGAGGAAUAUUGGACAAUGGGCGCAAGCCUGAUCCAGCCAUGCCGCGUGCAGGAUGACGGUCCUAUGGAUUGUAAACUGCUUUUAUACAGGAAGAAACACCUCUACGUGUAGAGACUUGACGGUACUGUAAGAAUAAGGAUCGGCUAACUCCGUGCCAGCAGCCGCGGUAAUACGGAGGAUCCAAGCGUUAUCCGGAAUCAUUGGGUUUAAAGGGUCCGUAGGCGGUUUAGUAAGUCAGUGGUGAAAGCCCAUCGCUCAACGGUGGAACGGCCAUUGAUACUGCUAGACUUGAAUUAUUAGGAAGUAACUAGAAUAUGUAGUGUAGCGGUGAAAUGCUUAGAGAUUACAUGGAAUACCAAUUGCGAAGGCAGGUUACUACUAAUUGAUUGACGCUGAUGGACGAAAGCGUGGGUAGCGAACAGGAUUAGAUACCCUGGUAGUCCACGCCGUAAACGAUGGAUACUAGCUGUUGGGCGCAAGUUCAGUGGCUAAGCGAAAGUGAUA
rnacentral:rRNA from 1 species